rfam:Galdieria sulphuraria unplaced genomic scaffold scaf_302, whole genome shotgun sequence.
UCGGACAGUUGCGAAAGCGUUUGGCAAGGAUAUUCCCAUUGAUCAAGGACGAAAGUUAGGGGAUCGAAGACGAUNAGAUACCGUCGNAGUCUNAACCANAAACGUUGCCAUCUNAAAGAUGGUGUAUUGAUUAUGCAUCGUACAUCCUUUUUAUUCGGGAAACCAAAGAAUUUGGGUUCUGGGGGGAGUAUGGUCGCAAGUCUGAAACUNAAAGGAAUNGACGGAAGGGCACCACCAGGAGUGGAGCCUGCGGCUUAAUUUGACUCAACACGGGGCAACUUACCAGGUCCGGACAUGAUCAUGAUUGACAGAUUGAUAGCUCUUUCUUGAUUUUAUGGGUGGUGGUGCAUGGCCGUUCUUAGUUGGUGGAGUGAUUUGUCUGGUUAAUUCCGUUAACGAACGAGACCUUUUCCUGCUAACUAGUUAUAUUGUAUUUGAAGAUAUACGAUAUAUACUUCUUAGAGGUACUAUUCGUUUUUCACGGAUGGAAGUUUUAGGCAAUAACAGGUCUGUGAUGCCCUUUGAUGUCCUGGGCUGCACGCGGGCUACACUGAUGCGAUCAAAUAGUUGUAAGAGACCAUUUCUGAGAAGAGUAUGGCAAACUUUGAAAUUGCAUCGUGCUUGGGAUUGAAUACUGUAACUGUAUUUAUGAACGAGGAAUUCCUUGUAAACGCGAGUCAUCAACUUGCGUUGAAUACGUCCCUGCCCUUUGUACACACCGCCCGUCGCUCCUACCGAUUGAACGAUCCGGUGAAGCGUACGGCUUGUUUUAUUUUUUGAUUUGAAAGGGUAAGAUGAAAAGUACGUUGAACCUUAUUGUUUAGAGGAAGGAGAAGUCGUAACAAGGUUUCCGUAGGUGAACCUGCGGAAGGAUCAUUC